CCUACGGGGGGCAGCAGUGGGGGAUAUUGCACAAUGGGGGAAACCCUGAUGCAGCGACGCCGCGUGAGCGAUGAAGUAUUUCGGUAUGUAAAGCUCUAUCAGCAGGGAAGAAAAUGACGGUACCUGACUAAGAAGCCCCGGCUAACUACGUGCCAGCAGCCGCGGUAAUACGUAGGGGGCAAGCGUUAUCCGGAUUUACUGGGUGUAAAGGGAGCGCAGGCGGCGCGCCAAGUCUGAUAUGAAACCCCGGGGCUCAACCCCGGGCAUGCAUUGGAAACUGGCGGGCUGGAGUGCCGGCGAGGUAA
rnacentral:rRNA from 1 species